rnacentral:rRNA from 1 species
AGUUUUGCAUAUCAAUAAGCGGAGGAAAAGAAACCAACAGGGAUUGCCCUAGUAACGGCGAGUGAAGCGGCAACAGCUCAAAUUUGAAAGCUGGCCUUCGGGUCCGCAUUGUAAUUUGUAGAGGAUGCUUUGGGUGAAACGCCAGUCUAAGUUCCUUGGAACAGGACGUCAUAGAGGGUGAGAAUCCCGUAUGUGACUGGAAAUGUUAACCUAUGUAAAGCUCCUUCGACGAGUCGAGUUGUUUGGGAAUGCAGCUCUAAAUGGGAGGUAAAUUUCUUCUAAAGCUAAAUAUUGGCGAGAGACCGAUAGCGCACAAGUAGAGUGAUCGAAAGAUGAAAAGCACUUUGGAAAGAGAGUUAAAAAGCACGUGAAAUUGUUGAAAGGGAAGCGCUUGCAAUCAGACUUGUUUAAACUGUUCGGCCGGUCUUCUGACCGGUUUACUCAGUUUGGACAGGCCAGCAUCAGUUUCGGCGGCCGGAUAAAGGCUCUGGGAAUGUGGCCUUCACUUCGGUGAAGGUGUUAUAGCCCGGGGUGUAAUACGGCCAGCCGGGACUGAGGUCCGCGCUCGGCUAGGAUGCUGCGUAGCCUGAAG